rnacentral:tRNA from 1 species
GAUGGGCUUAGCGGGGCUGCUAACUCUGCAAUCUGGGCCUAGUCUCCCGGGCCCGUCA